UUAUUGGUUUAAAAGGACCAGCAUUCUGUUCUAUGGCGGAAGACCAAACUGGAUCGAGUCAUGUUCGAAAUGGCGGGAAAUAGGGUUGAGCUGAAUCAUAUUCGAAGUGGCGUAAGGCUGGCUGGAACGAUUUACAAUCAAAACCUAUGGGUGCUGUGUCUGUACACUUUAAGUGAAUCAGUUGUGUAUUUCCAACAGUUUGAGUCUUUGGUGUUAAUAGUUGAUGCCAACAAUCCAAUAAAUGGUAUCGGAGCCAGAGAUUACAGGAUCGAUUUUCACAUGCUACGAAUUUAUGCAGGUGCUGGAAGAGGUUAUUAGCUUAUAAGGG
rnacentral:lncRNA from 1 species